UGGUGCGGAACGGCAAACUCUUUUGCCCAUCAUGCUUUUCGAACGCGGACUCUCCCUCCCGUGGUGCAUUGGGCGCAGGCAAGGUAGGGGUGCCGGCAGGAGGCUCCUCCUGUCUGGCCGCGAAUGCCGCUGGCGGCGAACGACAACGGCCAGGCCGUACCGGCCGGCCUGCGGCAGCGAAAACCCCUCCGACUGGCAAGCGGCCCUGCGCCGACGCCCUCCGCACCCCGGAGUCCCGGCUGGUUCUGGAGCCCGCUUGGCCUCGUCGUUUUCCUAAGCUUCGCAACCCGCUUCUAUCGCCUACGGGAGCCGCCACACAUCUGCUGGGAUGAAACACAUUUUGGAAAGAUGGGAAGCUAUUACAUUAACCGAACCUUUUUCUUUGAUGUCCAUCCACCUCUGGGGAAGAUGCUGAUAGGACUUGCCGGUUACCUGAGUGGCUAUGAUGGCACAUUCCCUUUCCAGAAGCCAGGGGACAAAUAUGAACAACAUAACUACAUAGGAAUGAGAGGGUUCUGUGCAUUCCUUGGUUCGUGCCUGGUCCCCUUCUCUUACCUCACGGUGCUGGAGUUGUCCAAAUCUCUGCCUGCAGCAAUGCUUACAGCUGCCAUUCUGAUUUUUGAUACAGGGUUCAUUACUCUCUCUCAAUACAUUCUGCUAGACCCCAUUCUGAUGUUCUUCCUCAUGGGAGCUGUGCUCAGCAUGGUCAAGCAUGAUUCCUGUGCAAACAGACCCUUUUCUGCUCCCUGGUGGUUCUGGCUCUGUUUGACUGGGAUAAACCUUGCUGGUGCAAUAGGCGUGAAAUUUGUUGGCCUUUUUGUAGUCCUCCUGGUUGGACUGAACACUGUUCGUGAUCUCUGGGAGCUGCUGGGAGACCUCAGUCUCUCACUGGUCACUCUGGGAGGGCACUUCCUGGCUCGUGUGCUCUGCCUCAUUAUGCUGCCACUUGCUCUCUAUACUGCUAUGUUUGCUGUUCAUUUUGCAGUGCUAAAUAGAAGUGGGCCUGGUGAUGGCUUUUUCAGCUCUGGAUUUCAGUCUCGGCUGAUUGGAAACAACCUUCAUAACAUGUCUGUUCCAGAGUACUUGGCGUAUGGCUCUGUGAUAACAAUGAAAAACCUUCGUAUGGCAGGCGGAUACCUUCACUCACACUGGCACCUGUAUCCUGAGGGUGUGGGAGCACGGCAGCAGCAGGUCACUGCAUAUUUGCAUAAGGACUUGAAUAACUUGUGGAUUAUAAAGAAACACAACUUGAAAGCAGAUCAUUCAGACCCUUCCUUCCCUGUGGAGUUUGUAAGGCAUGGAGACGUUAUCCGUUUGGAACACAAAGAGACUUCUAGAAACCUGCACAGUCACCCUCAUGAAGCCCCCUUGACGAGAAAGCAUCUUCAGGUCACUGGGUACGGCAUAAAUGGAACUGGAGACUGCAAUGAUUUCUGGCGAAUUGAGGUUGUGGGAAGAAAGACUGGGAAGCGUAUCAAAGUCCUCCGUAGUCGGAUCAGGCUGAUUCAUGUGGCUACAGGCUGCCUCUUGGGUUCAACUGGGAAGACGUUGCCAAAAUGGGGCUGGGAACAGGUAGAAGUCACCUGCACUCCAUAUCAGAAGGAGUCUCCUAAUUCUCUCUGGAAUGUUGAAGAUCACGUUAAUCCCAGGUUGCCCAAUAUCAGUUUGGAUGUUCUGAAACCUUCCUUUCCAGAGAUUCUGCUGGAGUCUCACAUGGUUAUGAUCCGAGGGAACAGUGGCCUCAAACCAAAGGAGAAUGAAGUCACAUCCAAACCCUGGCACUGGCCUAUCAAUUACCAAGGCCUUCGUUUUUCUGGAGUCAAUGAAACAGACUACAGGGUUUAUUUGCUGGGAAAUCCGGUGAUCUGGUGGCUGAACCUAAUUACUCUUGGAUUGUAUAUCACAAUGGCAAUAUUCGUUUCUGUGGCCAUGAAGAGGGGAGUUCGGCUAACAGCUGAGCACAAAGAGCUUUCUCGAGUCCUGCUACAUAGCGGAGGAAGGAUUAUGCUAGGAUGGCUCCUCCAUUACUUUCCUUUCUUCAUGAUGGGCAGAGUGCUCUAUUUUCACCAUUACUUUCCUGCCAUGCUUUUCUCCUCUAUGUUGACAGGGAUUACAUGGGAUGUAUUUCUGAAAUUUUGUGCUGGUGCUGUGUCAGCCAGAAUCCAAUCUAGGAAGGUUUAUAAUUAUGGGAUAAUGGUGCUGAUUCUGCUUAGUAUCUACAGCUUCUACCUCUUCCACCCUCUCUCCUAUGGAAUGAUAGGACCUCUGGCUUCUGAUCUCAACAGCCCAAUGGCAGGGCUUAGGUGGCUGGAAACCUGGGAGUUCUAGAUACAGCCUGAGGGAAAAAAAGGGAAUGAAACAAGAACACAAGUGGUGAAACCCACUGCACAAGAGCUGUGAAGGAUUGUUUCCCCAACAGCAUUUCUGCACUGAAGCAGUGGACUGUCAACCUUGAGGUCUGAGAAGAGGAGGAGGCAACUAUGAAGGAGAACCUCUCUGUGGGUCCUAGAGCUCCAUUUACUUGAACCUGCUGCUACUUAAAAGUUUGAACCAUCCAAGCAAUAUGUUAACCGUCCCACAGCCAUGGGCUCCACAGUGGUGUCAUUUUGUGUGAGUUGGAGGACGUGUAUGUUUUGCAAGGGUAUCUCUCAUGUCUGCCUGUCUCUGCUCAUAAGGGAUUUAACAGAGCUCAGGAAAGAUCAAGUGCGUGUAACAGAGGAAACCGUCUUCUGAGACCAGGAUAGUUAAUAUCCAAUAACUUCUUUUUUCAUGAACUUAAAAGUAUUUGUGUACAUAUGGCACAUGCUCCUGGGAGAGUCUUGUGGCUGCUUUUCUAAGUUCAGGGACUUGGACAUAAAGCAUAAAGCUUUCUGCGAUCCAGUGCUCUGUCUGCCCAUCACACAAAAGGCAAUGGGUUGUUUUUGCAUAAAGCCUUUGCUGUCUGAGCACAGACACCCAUUCAGAAUAGCCUUUAACAGUUACCUGGAAGAUCUCGUGCAGAAAUGAAACUGCAGCAUUCCAUUCAUCAGAUUAUCCUUUUGUUUAAGAAGCUGCAAAGCAGAGAAAGAUGUUUUUAUUAUUAUUAUUUAGGUUUCCUGCCCUAAAUUCCUCUGACAGUGAGGAAUGGUGCCUUUGAGAGAGAGUGUGUGUGUGUGUGUGUGCACGCGCGCGCAUGCUCAUGCGUGCUAGAAGUUGAAUACAUACUGUUAAAGCUUGUGCUGAGAGCUGUGAUAUCACUCAUUCUACUAAUUCAGUUGCCUACUAACACUUCUUCCUGUGGGGAAGCUUGUAUCUCUUUAAUGAAUGUAGAGUGUGCAGAACAUGCUGCUAACUGCUAUGGUACAGGAAUCUUGAUUUUUUUAUAUAUAAAUGCAUGUGUGUGUGUUUUUAGGAGGAAUUAACCUCUGUCAUAUGCUAUCAAAAAAGGGAGGGAUGUAGCUUGAUAAGCAGAAUAGAGCUCUUCAGUUGCUUAGUGGGAAUCCACUUCUGCAGCGAUGUGAGAAAAGUUUGGCAAAAAGGUUGAGCAAGGUGUUCCCCUGCAAAACGUUAUUUUAAUUCCAUCUCUUGUUCUCUGGAGCAAAUUCAGCCUUGGCUUCUGUUAAAUUGGUCCCCUGAAGCCUUCUUUUGCACAUGACACAGAAAUUGAGGCCACCCUCAAUUUUAAAGCUUGAAGCCUGCCACAUCCUAUCCCUCUGUGCCAUCAUCAAAGGGCUAUCUCUGUUGGCAUGGAGACGAUAUGCCAACAUUCCCAGGAGAGGCUGGAUGGGGCAUGUUGGCUGCUGUCAAGCUGCCAGGUCCAUUAAGAAGGGAAACACAAGAUUUAUCUGGUCUGGCUUAACUAGUUUAAGACUCUCAUGGCCAGCCUUUUAGUUAGCAGAAAUGAUGAUUGGUUCCAGCCUUUGAUUUUAACUCACUUGUUGACAACUGGUGGAAAUUGCUGAAAUGAGUUACUGAUUUUGAUAUUAUUACCGUUUCCUGUGGCAGGAAAUACGCUCGUGUGGCUGACCUGACUCCUCAGAUAUUAUAUAUAGAAAAGAAGGGAAGUCAUGAAAACUUCCCAUUAUUCUGCAUCUUUGUUGCUGGGAGAAACAGUGGAUUAAUGAAAUAAAGACUAGCCAAAAGCCCCAGACCUUGCCCUGGGAUGUGGACCAUCUUGCAACUCACUCCAGUUUCUGAUUUAAAUCUUAAAUGGGCGAGCAGCUUGCAAGCUAAGGUGAGUUCACUGGUUAAUUGAUCAUAUAAAUAGACAGUUGCCAUAGCUGCUGGCAACGACCCUGAAAAUGACAAAAGUAUUAGCACUUCUAUCUUGCUUACCUUAAUGUAGUAGCCCUGAUCUAACUAAGAGUAUUGGUGCUUAUGCUCCAUUUAAAUCAGAGGGACAAGAUAGUCGUGGCUACAUAGGCCCCAUUGAUUUCAAUGGGAUUGAAGAGUGGCUAACUUUAGUUGGGUCAAGGCAGAAGUAUUUAUCAUAAACCACAUGGAGCACUUCAGUAAGGACAUAAACUAGGUUUCUAAAGUACCUUCACUUUGAGAUGAAUAUAGCUGAUCAGUGUUGUUCAGAGUAACCAUCUGCCUUCUUGCAAAUGUAAGUGGUUUUAAGAAGAAGCGAGGAUACCUAAGAGGUAUUGAGCAUUUUUGAGAGAAGUGAAUGGUGCCAAGCCAGAUGGCGAGAUGUGAAAAAUAAUUCAGGUUUCUAGCUUUUCUGCCAGCCUACAACCCAUGAAGCAUUCUGUUUCAAGAUCCAAAGGAAAGACCGGCAACCUCAGUGCUCCAAUUGCCAGGACACAAAGUACACUGCAAGUAAGGCUGACUGUUACCUACCCAUCCUUUGAAUAAAACAGACUAAGAGGCAUGUACCUACAAACAUGGAAUGGCCCACAUGGCCCGGAGCAUUUGGCUUCUUCCCUGCUGCUUUGUGUCCCUAGCCACCCCACCUCCUUCUCCUCCAACUUGAGGAUGUGCCUACCCAGCCAACACACUUCCACUUUGCAUGGAAUAACUGCCAAGUCUGAAACAGUGGUACCUUGCUUGGCAUUUGCAGAGGAUAAGGUGCUGCUUUGGACUCGGCUGCUUCUGGCAUGUAUCCUGUGAGGAUGAGAGAAUAUGCCAGCUCCGACAUCCUGCAGCUGCACUGAUCGGUGCCUGGUCCAAGGAUGUGUUGCGCGGUUCAGGUGAAAGAGGGCACACACAUACCUUGAGCAGCUUCUAAUCUAUUUGCAGACCAUGCCGCCUUGACUUUGCAUUUGGCAACCCCCCCCAAAAAUGAACACAAAGCAGAUAGAAAAUAGAUGAAACCCUUAGAAAUUAAGCUUGAUCAGAUCUGUAAAGCUGCCGUUCUGCACGAAGGAUUUUAAUUUAAUGCCCCAGUAAUUUGUAAUUACACACUGUAAAGUAAUCUGAUGUGGGUGGUUCAGGUGGUGCUGUACGUUUGCCACUUGCCAGGAUCUACAAGGUGUGAACUGGAAAUCUGCUACAAAUGCUUAGGGGCUGGCAAGCUUUGAGAGGGGAGGAAGAUGCCGGCUUGAGCCAAUGCCAUUUGCAGGAGGUUUGCUUGACCGUCUCUGCUUAUGCUCUUGGGGGUGAAAUGUCCAUCAAAGAGAUCAGAGGACUUUUAUUAUAGGCCGUUUUGUGCUUCGCAUCCUGUGUAGGGCUUACUCUCAUUGUAGGCCUUAAGAGAAGGACAGUGAGAGAAGAAUGAUAAAAGACUGGACACCCCAAGUGAGGUGAGACUACCGUAUGUAGUAUCUACCCUAGACCCAGCUUGGAGAGGGACACAAAAUGGCCAUUGGAAAUCACGUAAUAUGUUGCCGUUUUUUCCCAUAAGGUUAUGUUCCUUUCCUCUGCUCUCCAGUGUAUGAAAUGAAUUUGUCCCAUUUUCAGACUGGAAGAGGAAAAGCCAGAUAUCUGCUUGUUCUUAGUCUUGAAGCUUCUCAUUGACCCUUUCCCCUGCAACCUAGCACAGCAAAGCACAUUGAGCCAAUAAAUAACACUGUAAGAGGAUAAAUUGGAGACCAGAUAUUGGACAGCAGUAGCCAAUGGGGUGCCUCUACAACAGCACCAAACAGGAGCAGCCCAUCUGAGCAGGGAGAACUUUGAUUUUGUGCCUUAAGACGUGCAACUGUCCAUAACGUUUGUCACUUUUGGGGGUAGGGGAACUGAAGUCUGCCCCAGGCAUGGAAACAAAUGGUUAUAACACUCCUCUCACCCACCUCAUCUCAUCCAAUAUGCAAUCUGUUUUGAGUGGAGGGACGUUGACAAGUUAUCUCAAUGUUUUCCCCAGCUCUCAGUAUUCUGCCCAAAUGUGAAUGAUAUCUGCAACUAGAGCACAUCGGAAUGACACAACAUUUUCUGGUUCCUGAAAAGAAAAUUGGAUCAGUUGAUUAGUUUACUGUGGGGAAAUUGAGCCCUUGAAAUAUGUAUGCACUACAGUAUUUGGAAGUGAUGGUGCCAAGAGUAUACUUUGUCAUUUAAAUUUGAACUUUUUUUGUAAAGAGUGAGAGGGAAUGUGUGAAUCUGCCACAGUAUACAAGAGGUUUGUAGGUUCCUUCCUCACUUAGUACCUAUCCUAUUUGACAGGGCUGUUGUGGGGACCAAUUAUAAAGUCCCUUGUGCAGUAAGAAGUGCCUCAGUUGUUAGUUUUUGAAGUAAAAACCUAAAAUUUCUCUAGGUGGCCAUUUGUGCUGCUGACCUGAUCCCAGAGUCUGGAUACAAUAGUAAAUGAUGUGGAUAUCUGUUGGAGCUUCUCAUUUCCUGUCUGUAAAUAAAAGAGAUCAGAAGCUUUUCAAAGCCAGCUGCUGGCUUGUAAUGAAAAUAACACUUUUGCUGUAGGGAAAUGGAGCCAUUUAAACGUUUGUGUUCCAUUCACAAUUCAAGGCACUACAAGGGUCAUCAAGUCCUACUUCCUUCAUUGCAGGAAUCUCGUGUGUGUGUGUGUGUGUGUGUGUGUGUGUGUGUGUGUACAUGUAGAGAGGAAGAGAAAGAGACCGAUUGCGUUGUAAUUUUCACACAACGUUCCAUUCCACUACGCGGGUGUUUGUAUAAACUGAGAUUGGACAGAUGUCAUGUCAGUGUUUUGAAAAAAUAUAGCAAAGGUUCUGACCUCCUUUGCGUGGUCCUCGGACCCUAGUCGGCACAAAGAGUCCUUGAGAAAAAACAAACUUUGCAGAAUGCUGCUUUUAUUAUAAAAAUUCCUCCAACCACGACCAACACCAAACGCAACCAGCUGCCAACCAACCCACCCACAAAACACCACUAACAUUGACCACUCUACAGUAUAUAUCCACGUACAAUUAGGUGAGAGGUUGCAUGAGUCAUUGUAGGCUGCUGACUCAUGCUGACUUAGUUCUUUUAGCAUUAAAGAAGCAGCGGCCAAUUUUUAGCCGUGAAAUGUCACACCUGUGAGAAAUUAGAACAUGUUUUCUAGAAAAACAUGUCAAAGCAGCACAACUGAGGAUGCCUCAGCUGCUGCCAUUGGCUGCAGACUAUCUGUGACAUCACAGUAGCAUGGCAUUGCCCAGCAGAGCACAGCCAGGGGAGCAGGCCAGGCCCAAGAUGCACAUGGGGUGUACGUGUGGAAGAGAGAGAGGGGUCGGGUUGACGGGUGCCAUCACACGGGAGGAAGAUGACCAGCGAUGAGCAGAGAGAGCUAGAGGGAAGAUGAGUGGAGAUGACCAGAGAGACGGGAGGGACCACAGAGAGAGAGGUGUCGUGACGUCCGGGUUGUGGUAUGGGGCUGCGGUGAGGAACGAGGGCGCUGAGUGGAGGUGGGUUGUGCUUUUGCGGAGGAGGAAUGUGUCGGGGUGGUGGGUGCCCUCACGCAGAAGGAACAUCACGUUACAUGGCGGGAG